rnacentral:lncRNA from 10 species
UUCCAUUUCCCUACCAAAACAAAAGCAACAAAAAAGAAAAUUAAAAAUCCUCAUUCUCUGGAAAUGCUUGAAGAAGGGAAAAAAUAAAUUGGAGAUACAAUGAUUGGCAAAAAUGACAUCUUUAUUUAUUUUUAAUAAAAGAUAAAUGUAAUGUAGAGCCAUGGCCUUAUUCUUCUAAACUUCUGUGGGACUUACACAGUUUAUUAUGUAAGUCUCUGUAAUUCAAGUUACCCGGAAAGUUCAAUUUCAUGUGUGAUUAUUAUUGCCUAUUGAAAGUGCAUCUGAUUUGUUAUAACAGGAACCCUGUAGGGGAAAUAAUUGUAUGUUGUUAGCAAUGAAUAUAUGUAAACCUUUAAAAAUGAAUUAAUGUUUUUGAUAUAGCAUGUUUAAUUCAAGCUAGUCUGUGUUCAAUUAUUGGAAGCAGGGAGUGAACGCUCUAAGAAAUAAAAUAACCUAGGGUGAAACACCUUAUUUUAUGAAAAACUAAUUUUUAGGAGCAUUUUCUUUUAUACUAUGUAAAAAAAUCCCUGAAAGAUGAACAGACUUUGACAGCUGUUAUAGGUGAGAGCCUCAAGUAAAGAUAAAAUUAAAUGUUUUCCUUAAAUGCUAUUGCCCAAAUAAUGAAUAUCCAUAAUUGAAAACUGAGAUUACCUUAUACUUUGCUUUGUUCUCUCUGCCAGAGUCCUACCCACUGUAUUAGUUGUUAGAGUUGUGGAACUUAACCGAAGCUUUCUCUGGAUUCCAGAUGUUUUAAGAAUAUUUUCAGCUGCAUGGCUUGACAGCCUUGGGAUUCCCUCACACAUUCACAGUCUUUUUUGGAUCAGUCUGAUGUGAGCAUGAAAACUGGGAGUUGUGGAGCCCACUUAGGAAAUGAUUGCAAUUGUCCAGGAGACAGAUGAUGGUAAUUAAGUUUCCAUCAGCCUGGAACUCAGGACAGAAGAUACAUAUUCUGUAUGUAGAGAAUCACUGGAGGUCAAAUGUCUUUGCCAAUUUGAGUUUUUCCACUUGAACAAGAAAAGACUGUCAAGGGAAAGCCAAUCAAUUUCACAAUGUUUAGCCUUAGAGCCACUCAACAGUCCUGUUUGGGCCAGUCUCCUGGAAUAUGAGAAAAGAUGAAGAAUGGGAGUGUUAUGGAGGGCAUACGCCCCUCUGAUCAUCACCACAAAGAGUGGAGCCCUUCAUGGUCCCAGCUGAAAGCCUGGAGAGGCUGCGCGCGGUGGCUCACGCCUGUAAUCCCAACGCUUUGAGAGGCCAAGGCAGGUGGAUCACUUGAGCGCAGGAAUUCAAGACCAGCCUGGGCAACAUGGCAAAACCCCAUCUCUACAAAAAGUACAAAAAUUAACCGGGCGUGGUGGUGGGUGCCUGUAGUCCCAGAUACUCCGGAGGCUGACGCAGGAGAAUCGCUUGAACCUGGGAGGCGCAGGUUGCAGUGAGCCGACAUCUCGCCACUGCACUCCAGCCUGGGGGACAGAAUGAGACUCCAACUCAAAAAAAGAAAAAAAGAAAAAGAAAGCCUGGGGAUAUUUACCAGGACCCUUCCUCCUUUUCAGGCCCUAGAUUCUAAGAUCCUGCUUUGCAGAUCUGAAGUGGGACCCAGGAAUCUUUAACAAGCUCUAAGCCU